UACAGAGGUCUCAAGCGUUGUUCGGAUUUAUUGGGCGUAAAGAGCGUGUAGGCGGCCAGGUAGGUCUGCUGUGAAAACUCGAGGCUUAACCUCGAGAUGUCGGCGGAAACCAUCUGGCUAGAGUCCGGAAGAGGAGAAUGGAAUUCCCGGUGUAGCGGUGAAAUGCGCAGAUAUCGGGAAGAACACCCGUGGCGAAGGCGGUUCUCUGGGACGGUACUGACGCUGAGACGCGAAAGCGUGGGGAGCGAACAGG
rnacentral:rRNA from 1 species